GAUGAAGAACGCAGCGAAAUGCGAUAAGUAAUGUGAAUUGCAGAAUUCAGUGAAUCAUCGAAUCUUUGAACGCACCUUGCGCCCUUUGGCUAUUCCGAAGGGCAUGCCUGUUUGAGUAUCAUGAACACCUCAACUCUCAUGGGUUUGCCAUGAUGAGCUUGGACUUUGGGGGUCUUGCUGGCCUAUGGUCAGCUCCUCUCAAAUGGAUCAGCUUGCCAGUGUUUGGUGGCACCACAGGUGUGAUAACUAUCUUCGCUUGUGGCUUUCCACCAGGUAACCUUCAGUGAUGAAGGUUCGCUGGGGCUUAUAAAUGUCUCUCCUAAGUGGAGACGGCUUUUUUGAAUGUUUGAUCUCAAAUCAGGUAGGACUACCCGCUGAACUUAAGCAUAUCAAUAAGCGGAGGA
rnacentral:misc_RNA from 1 species